UUGGUAACUAAUUUUUUGUUCCCAUUAAUGUAACCCACCAUUGCUAGGUCUGAGCUCACUAGGGCACCAUUUGUUGUAGAAAAGGAACCUCUACGAAUUUCACAAGUACCGAGCCAUUGGAGAACCACACAACUGUAAUGAAAACGGGAAUUCUUGAAAUAGAAGCCCAGAACUGAUCCUGGACUUUGGCAGACCUGCAUCCC
ensembl:lncRNA